rnacentral:rRNA from 1 species
UACGUAGGGUGCAGGCGUUAAUCGGAAUUACUGGGCGUAAAGCGUGCGCAGGCGGUUUGCUAAGACAGGUGUGAAAUCCCCGGGCUUAACCUGGGAACUGCGCUUGUUACUGGCAGGCUUGAGUGUGGCAGAGGGGGGGUGGAAUUCCGACGUGUAGCAGUGAAAUGCGUAGAGAUGUGGAGGAACACCGAUGGCGAAGGCAGCCCCCCUGGGUCGACACUGACGCUCAGGCACGAAAGCGUGGGGAGCAAACAGG